rnacentral:rRNA from 1 species
AUUGAACGCUGGCGGCAUGCUUUACACAUGCAAGUCGAACGGUAACAGGCCGCAAGGUGCUGACGAGUGGCGAACGGGUGAGUAAUGCAUCGGAACGUGCCAGUCGUGGGGGAUAACGCAGCGAAAGCUGUGCUAAUACCGCAUACGAUCUAUGGAUGAAAGCGGGGGACCGUAAGGCCUCGCGCGAUUGGAGCGGCCGAUGUCAGAUUAGGUAGUUGGUGGGGUAAAGGCCUACCAAGCCAACGAUCUGUAGCUGGUCUGAGAGGACGACCAGCCACACUGGGACUGGGACACGGCCCAGACUCCUACGGGAGGCAGCAGUGGGGAAUUUUGGACAAUGGGCGCAAGCCUGAUCCAGCAAUGCCGCGUGCAGGAAGAAGGCCUUCGGGUUGUAAACUGCUUUUGUACGGAACGAAACGGUCUGGGUUAAUACCCUGGGCUGAUGACGGUACCGUAAGAAUAAGCACCGGCUAACUACGUGCCAGCCGCCGCAGUAA